rnacentral:tRNA from 1 species
GCCCCCAUCGUCCAGUGGCCCAGGACGCCGCCCUUUCAAGGCGGUAACGGGGAUUCGAAUUCCCCUGGGGGCA